rnacentral:rRNA from 1 species
UACAGAGGUCUCAAGCGUUGUUCGGAUUCAUUGGGCGUAAAGGGUGCGUAGGCGGCGCGGUAAGUCGGGUGUGAAAUCUCGGAGCUUAACUCCGAAACUGCAUUCGAUACUGCCGUGCUUGAGGACUGGAGAGGAGACUGGAAUUUACGGUGUAGCGGUGAAAUGCGUAGAUAUCAAGAGGAACACCUGCGGCGAAGGCGGGUUGCUGGGCCAACACUGACGCUGAGGCGCGAAAGCCAGGGGAGCGAACGGG